GAAGAACAUUGUAGAUGAACAAGAAUGGACACUACAAUGAGUUUUAGUUUGAAGCUGAUGUUAUUGUUAGCUCUAUUCAUCAAUGCAAAAGAAUCAGAAGCAAGACUAGGACCCAUUGUGCGUAUUACUUGUCCAAAAGGUUGCUUUCACGAUGGUCCAUGCCUCAACAACUACUGUUUAUGUCAUGAAAAACAAGGUGGUCAAUUUUCAUUUUGUUGUGACUCAUGUGUUGGACCUUUGUGUUUAUGUCCACCAACUCUCGAACAAUGUAAUUCUUUGUGUCCACAUGCUUUCACUGAUAUGCUUCCUAUUAGUCAAAGUCAAUCACCAUAUAUUGUAAACUGAAAUAUGGGAACCUUAUGAUGUAUUUAUAAUAAAUGGUUGUUCAGGCA